rnacentral:rRNA from 1 species
GAACGCUGGCGGCGUGCCUAAUACAUGCAAGUCGAGCGAACGGACGAGAAGCUUGCUUUUCUGAUGUUAGCGGCGGACGGGUGAGUAACACGUGGAUAACCUACCUAUAAGACUGGGAUAACUUCGGGAAACCGGAGCUAAUACCGGAUAAUAUUUUGAACCGCAUGGUUCAAAAGUGAAAGACGGUCUUGCUGUCACUUAUAGAUGGAUCCGCGCUGCAUUAGCUAGUUGGUAAGGUAACGGCUUACCAAGGCAACGAUGCAUAGCCGACCUGAGAGGGUGAUCGGCCACACUGGAACUGAGACACGGUCCAGACUCCUACGGGAGGCAGCAGUAGGGAAUCUUCCGCAAUGGGCGAAGGCCUGACGGAGCAACGCCGCGUGAGUGAUGAAGGUCUUCGGAUCGUAAAACUCUGUUAUUAGGGAAGAACAUAUGUGUAAGUAACUGUGCACAUCUUGACGGUACCUAAUCAGAAAGCCACGGCUAACUACGUG